GUUUCGAAAGGAACACGGUCAUUCAGCACUAACAAAGGGAGAUAAACAACUUUUGAGACGUGGACGGUUAUCUUUCCGCAUGACUUUCCAGCAUGACACAACCAAAGCUGAUAGUUUGUGCUAAUAAUAUCGUCACUAUGAAGGAAACGGUGAUACAGACGUUUACGAUAUUAUUGAUGGUAUGUAUUAUUCUGACGAUCAUCCUUGUCCGUUGGGAGAAAGACCUCCGCCACAAAUUCCUGGAUAGCCCGUGGAAUAAAAACCAAGAGAACGCUUUGAGGGGUGUACGUGUGUUUGUUAAUAAUUUUGAAACAGCAAAAAACAAUUGCAGAAGUUCAAAGUCCGGGAAUUGUAACUCGACAAACACAUUGUUUGAGCAGAACCGCCAUUCUUUAAACGUUUCGAAACGUUCUUCAGGAUAUUCAAAACGAACAAAUGUAGAAAAGUUGAGAAAUAAUUCACAGUUAGCUAGGUUUACUUUAAGGUCCAAUUACUCGAAACAUCACGUAACGAACACAAGUGGAGCUCAAAGUCAAAAGACAAGUGACAAACAUGACGUCAUCAAUGGUGCAGACCUAAAGCAGAAUACACCGGAUCAAGCGAAAGUUUUAAAUGGUUAUACUGUUUCCUUAGAAGGAUUGCAACCUAAACAAACACAGAAACAAGCGAAUUCAUCACGAGGCUUCAAACCUACCACGGAGUCUUACCACGCACAGAAAGUAGCAAAAACUUCAAACAAUAUAAAAGCGGAGGCGGAAACCGAAAACUUGAAGUUUAGUGGUGGAAAGGAGUUCAAGAGUGGGAACCACAUGUUUGAUGUCAGCGGGUAUACAAAUAUUUGGUUGAACGAUACCAUGGGUUUACAAAGAAAAGGCCUAAAGGGGUAUUUAAUUUAUGACUGUAGCAAGGCCCGUAAAGAGAAAUGCGGAGGAUGGUCUGACCGGCUUUCGGGGAUCCUCUCGACGCUUGUUCUCGCUACUCUCACAAACAGGACUUUCAAGAUUAAUUUCGACAAUCCAUGUGUCCUUUCAAAAUACCUCGGACCUAACCAGUACAACUGGACCAUCGGACGUUCGGAAUAUGAGGGUAAAUCUACAUCAUACCACAUUCUCACAAACAAUCUUUAUCAUAAGAUGGGAAAAGAGUUGACGCCAAAAGGAUUGCAAAAGUAUUUUCAAAGGGACUUUUCCUUUAUUCGAAUGAAUUGGGACCUUACCAGACAAUUUAGAAAAUAUCCAAACAUUCAGAAAUAUGCACCUUGGAUAACUGAGUUACAUUUUUCAGAUAUCUAUCUCAACCUUUUUAAUACUUUAUUCAAACCUUCACAAGAAAUAGUCAAGGUGUUGGCCAAUAUUCGUAAUGAUACCACAAGAAGUAAAACUGCUUGCGCUCAUUUGCGAAUAGGCGGCAACCCAAGCAUGCGAAAUGACCAUCCGAGGAAUGAUAAAAACUCCCUCAAGGCAGUUUGGUCUUUUCUAGAUCAACUAUACAUAAAUGAUUAUAAUAUUUUUGUUGCAACAGAUGAUGAUAGCGUUAGAAAAACAGCCCGAGAGAGAUUCAAAAAUACAUUUAUCGAUAUUCCUGGUAGUAUCAUGCAUAUUGACCAAUCUAGCUAUCGGCGUGGAGAUGUUUGUGAAGGUUUUAAGAAGCAGCUUUUGGACUUUUUGUUCUUGGCCACAUGUGACGUACUUGUGUUGUCCAAUAGCGGGUUUGGGAUGAUGGCGGCCUACCUCCGGACACACAAGACUGGACUGUACUGCUGGACAGGCAGUGGUAUUGUUCCCUGCUCCCGGUAUACGGUACAUGAUUUUUACCCUCUUCCGAUCCUCGCUCCAGAACUGCAUCAUUAAAACUAUGUGUUUAAUUAAGAGAGUGGUUGUGUUACAAGAGCGAGUGAAACGUAUGUAGGUUGAGAUUGUGAGAGACAGGGGCUUUCAAAGCGAAACGUGUUUACACAUUUAUUGUGUGUUUGUGUGUGUGCAAUUUUGACCCCUUUAGGUUCGCUGUAGUCCCACUGUAGACUCACAACAUAGACUCACUAAACUCAGUGUAGACUCACUUUAUAAGGUUCGCUGUAGUCAACAUGUGGCUCACAACAAAGACUCGCUAGACUCGAGUAGACUCACUUUAUAAGGUUCGCUGUAGUCAACCUGUAGGCUCACAACAUAGACUCACUAGACUCAGUGUAGACUCACUUUAUAAGGUUCGCUGUAGUCAACAUGUAGGCUCACAACAAAGACUCGCUAGACUCGAGUAGACUCACUUUAUAAGGUUCGCUGUAGUCAACCUGUAGGCUCACAACAAAGACUCACUNAAGACUCAGCGUAGACUCACUUUAUAAGGUUCGCUGUAGUCAACCUGUAGGCUCACAACAUAGACUCACUAGACUCAGCGUAGACUCACUUUAUAAGGUUCGCUGUAGUCAACCUGUAGGCUCACAACAAAGACUCGCUAUACUCGAGUAGACUCACUUUAUAAGGUUCGCUGUAGUCAACCUGUAGGCUCACAACAAAGAAUCACUGUUGACUCAGUGUAGACUCACUUUAUAAGGUUCGCUGUAGUCAACCUGUAGGCUCACAACAAAGAAUCCCUGUUGACUCAAUGUAGACUCACUAAAGUAAGUUUGUGAUGAAGUAUCUUUAUCCCGCGCGUUUCUCUGUCUUCAUCCCAGCGGGGUGAUUGAGCCGUCAAACCCAUCCCAUAGUACGGGCAUACUCCUCUGAAGUAUGUGAGAAAUCCAACUCCAAAUUCCUUUCUGAUGUCUAUAUUACAUACUUUCUCUUGAUUUCUUGGGGUAUAAUUUUGCAUCCUCUAAAUUCUACCUAAUUAUUUUUCACAUCACAUGCCCUAUUUGCAAUAGCUAAAAGCUAAAUGAGGAGGGAUUUCUAUAAAUACUGAUCUACACUUAUACCCAUUACACACUAAGUAAUCUACACGUGACUUGUUUUUUCCCCAACCUUUUGACACAUUUUAUAUUGUGGAGAUAUGGGUUCAUUGAUUAAUACAUUGUUCCUUGAUAUCCAAGCUACAGUAAAAACGACAAUGAUUAUACAGUGAUUGUGUCAGAAAUAUAUAUGGAGUCUUUUCUACGAGUCAAUACAGAACCUACAGUGAGGCUAUAGAGACUUUAUUGGAAGUCUACAAUGACUUUAUAAAGGAGUCGAUAGGUAAUGUAUAUGGAGUCUACAAUGACUCGUGAGAGAGUCUAUAUGUAUAGUCUACAGGGAGUCCAUAUAAGGAGUCUACAGUGAGUCAAUAGGGAGUCAACAGUGAGUUUGUAAGGGGUCUGCAUUGAGUUUAUAUGCAGUCUAUAGUGAGCCAAUAAGGAGUAUGCAGUGAGUCAAUAGAGAGUCCUUGAAGUGAGUCAAUAGGGAUUCAUCAGUGAGUAUGAGUGAGUUUGUAAGGGGUCUGCAUUUAGUCUUUAGUGAGUCAAUAGAGAGUCCUUGAAGCGAGUCAAUAGAGAGUCUACAGUGAGUCAUCAGUGAGUUUGUAAGGGGUCUGCAUUGCGUCUAUAAGGAGUAUACAGUGAGGCAAUAGAUAGUCCUGGAAGUGAGUCAAUAAAGAGUAUAUAGUGAGUCAAUAGGGAUUCAUCAGUGAGUUUGUAAGGGGUCUGCAUUGAGUAUAUAAGGAGUUUGUAGUGACUUUAGGGAUGAAUGAAAAACAAGUUAAUUCUUACAUGUGUUUUCAUUAUUCCUAAUCAGAUUAUAUAUUUUGACUUCUGUGCCAUAAAACAAACAGCUAAAAUGUGUUUCAAUAAAUUCAUAUAUAUUUA
rnacentral:misc_RNA from 1 species